GACGAACGCUGGCGGCGUGCUUAACACAUGCAAGUCGAACGGAAAGGCCCUGCUUUUGUGGGGUGCUCGAGUGGCGAACGGGUGAGUAACACGUGAGUAACCUGCCCUUGACUUUGGGAUAACUUCAUGAAACUGGGGCUAAUACCGGAUAGGAGCUCCUGCUGCAUGGUGGGGGUUGGAAAGUUUCGGCGGUUGGGGAUGGACUCGCGGCUUAUCAGCUUGUUGGUGGGGUAGUGGCUUACCAAGGCUUUGACGGGUAGCCGGCCUGAGAGGGUGAACGGCCACAUUGGGACUGAGAUACGGCCCAGACUCCUACGGGAGGCAGCAGUGGGGAAUAUUGCACAAUGGGCGGAAGCCUGAUGCAGCAAAGCCGCGUGCGGGAUGACGGCCUUCGGGUUGUAAACCGCUUUCGCCUGUGACGAAGCGUGAGUGACGGUAAUGGGUAAAGAAGCACCGGCUAACUACGUG
rnacentral:rRNA from 1 species